CUUCUGUUGCGUUCAGGCGCAUCACGAAAAAGACAGGUGAUUUUUUUUUAACGACACACGUGCGACGCUGAGAGGGAAAUACGGCCAGGGACGUAAAGAUGUACCCUUUCGGUUGAAAUAUCUCCAACAACAAAGGCUUCAUUUUUGCUGACUCACAGAGAAGUGAUUAAUCUUUAACCAUGGUCCAACCAAGACUGGGCUGCAGGCCAACGUGCACCGUAAGCUGCAGGCAUUUUUAAUGCCCUUUGACUGAUUCAGACUUGAGAAAAUUGUCUUGUUUAUCUACACUAAUAACCUGAGAAGUCUCUGCUAGCAUAAAAGUAUCAUUUGUUAAAUAGGAAACAUUUAAAGAGAUUUAAGUGAAAGAAAUAUUGGGUUUGUCCUAAACCCAAUAUUUCUUGGCUAUCAUUAAAAUCUCUAUUCAGUGUUCCACUUUACAAACUCUAGUUUAAAUUAGUUUUGUAAUAUGGCAGAUUGUUUGAGAUAUUUGUAAUUAAAAAGUCCUGUUGGUUUGAAGGUAAAUAUACUGUACCUUCAAACCAACAGGACGUUUUGCAAAACAAUCAUUACUAAUUAACUACUGCAAAUACAAUAACCUAUACAUCAGAAGAAUGAGAAUGACAAUCAAACCAGACUGUAAAUAGUUGCACCUUUUAUUAUAAAAAAUAUUUACAAAGAUGCUACAAUGUUUUUUUUUCAUUUCCUUGAUAUAAAAAAAAUGCAUACAUUUUACAAUGGUAAUUAGUCUUUAAAGUUCUAGCUCCCAAUCAGACCAGAGUGACAUCCUUCAGGAGUGUGGCGCUCAGCUAUCAAGUCUGUGGUAAUACUGUACUUGAUUCAUAACAUCCUGUUUGCCUGAGUUUAUCUGCAUCACCAUCAGGAACAAUU